rnacentral:ncRNA from 1 species
AAAUGGUGGCCUGGCGUUGGUUCCUGUCCUAUGACAGGCGAAGAGGGAAUGCGAUAGGGUCCGAAUCCGCAAAGAUUUGGGUCCAAACUGCAGCCGCCCCCGCGACCGUGACCGGAGAGAUGCCCGAAGCCACUGAUUCCUUUUGGGAUCGGGAAGGCGGGGAUCGAAGGGCCAAAACCCUGCUCCGCAAGCCGGGAGACCUGCCAGCGCGGACGAGUUUUG